rnacentral:rRNA from 1 species
AUUAUUGAAUAAAUGUUGAUAAGCUGUUGCUGGNCCCCUGGGGGCAUGUGCACGCUUGUCAUCUUUAUUUUUCCACCUGUGCACUCUUUGUAGACCCUAGAGAAGAAAUUGUCUGUGAAAAUCAGAUAGGUUGAGGAACUGCUGUGUGUUAAGGCCAGCUUUACCUUGUAUAUCUAGGUUCUAUGUCAUUCAAAUACUCCUAUAAAUGUAAUAGAAUGUUGACCUGGGUCUUUUAGUACCCAUAAAAGUUAUAUACAACUUUCAGCAACGGAUCUCUUGGCUCUCGCAUCGAUGAAGAACGCAGCGAAAUGCGAUAAGUAAUGUGAAUUGCAGAAUUCAGUGAAUCAUCGAAUCUUUGAACGCAUCUUGCGCUCCUUGGUAUUCCGAGGAGCAUGCCUGUUUGAGUGUCAUUAAAUUCUCAACUACACUGAUUUUGUUAGUGUAGAUUGGAUUUGGGGGACCAUUUUUACUUGCGGGCUUUUGUAAAAUGAAGUCGGCUCCCCUGAAAUUGAUUUAGUGGUACCUUAGCAGAACCGUCUACAGGUGUGAUAAUUUAUCUACAUCCUUGACGUCUGCAUGAAAAGGUUAUGCUGCUUUCUAACCUCAUUAAUGACAAUUUUGACCUCAAAUCAGGUAGGACUACCCGCUGAACUUAAGCAUAUCAAUAAGCGGAGGAAAAGAAACUAACAAGGAUUCCCCUAGUAACUGCGAGUGAGACGGGAAAAGCUCAAAUUUAAAAUCUGUUGGCAUUGGCCAUCCGAGUUGUAAUCUAGAGAAGUGUUACCCGUGCUGGACCGUGU